rnacentral:rRNA from 1 species
UACGGAGGGGGCUAGCGUUGUUCGGAAUUACUGGGCGUAAAGCGCACGUAGGCGGCUUUGUAAGUUAGAGGUGAAAGCCCGGGGCUCAACUCCGGAAUUGCCUUUAAGACUGCAUCGCUAGAAUUGUGGAGAGGUAAGUGGAAUUCCGAGUGUAGAGGUGAAAUUCGUAGAUAUUGGGAAGAACACCAGUGGCGAAGGCGGCUCUCUGGCUCGGUACUGACGCUGAGGCGCGAAAGCGUGGGGAGCAAACAGG